rnacentral:misc_RNA from 1 species
UCACCAUCGAGCCCUGCUCGGAGAUGGGCUUCGUCCUCGCGGACGGGCCCGAAACUCGUGGGCGCCUUUGUCCGGCCCUGAGCGUAGCAAGAGAAAUCCCUCGCUCGGUGGACCCGUAUGGCGGCCGCCCCGAUUAUUUUUUAUAA